rnacentral:tRNA from 1 species
GGCUUCAUGGUCUAGUGGCAUGAUUUUCGGUUUGGGUCCGAAAGGUUGUGGGUUCGAUUCCCGCUGGAGCCC